GUGGAUGUGGUGCAGUGGCAUGCACUGCUGCACUUAAUAGAGAGGAAGGAAAGUUUAUAUGCAGCUGUUGGGGUUCGACUUCCCGCGUCCGCA